GAAAUUUCCAGCCGUUAAUUUGAGUUUGGCACCGAAGUUUUACCACAAAGAGGUUGCUCUUGAACAUUUUAAGAGCUGGAGUAUGUUCCAGAGAACUUGGCUCAUGUCAGAAGCUACAUGAAGUUGGAAGUAAAACUAGGAAAAUUCCGGAAUGACUGGACAUAUUUGAGGUGACACGUUCAAAGAGAAGCAAAACAUCAGACCCAUCGGAAGCAGUGAUGGAUCCCGUGGCAGUUGAGCAAUAUGAUCAAAUGGUGGAUAUCCAGAAGCAGGCAAGCCAACUUGGAUCAGGAGUCGUUUUAUCUGGGCGUAAAGAUAUAAUUUAUGCUGUGUUGGGACCUGAAAAACGGGGUCGGGUUUGUUGUCUUGUUACUGUGAAGACAAAAGAGUUCUGUGGUGAUGACGCAUCACCCAGUAAGGUUGCGAAGCUAUGAAGUGAAAAUGCCUUAGAUAGGCUUUGGCAGCUACCAAAGAAGAUUUUGAAAUGGCUACGAAAAGAAUUUUGGAACUGGAGACACAAUUUUCUACAUUGAUAAAUCUGAUGAUGUCAAGGGAUCAACUGCAACCAAACCUGAACAGUGAAGGACUUGAGG